rnacentral:rRNA from 1 species
UUUAUCNUGGCUCAGAUUGAACGCUGCGGCAGGCNUAACACAUNAAGUCGAGCGGUAGCACAAGAGAGCUUGCUCUCUGGGUGACGAGCGGCGGACGGGUGAGUAAUGUCUGGGAAACUGCCUGAUGGAGGGGGAUAACUACUGGAAACGGUAGCUAAUACCGCAUGACGUCUUCGGACCAAAGUGGGGGACCUUCGGGCCUCACGCCAUCAGAUGUGCCCAGAUGGGAUUAGCUAGUAGGUGGGGUAAUGGCUCACCUAGGCGACGAUCUCUAGCUGGUCUGAGAGGAUGACCAGCCACACUGGAACUGAGACACGGUCCAGACUCCUACGGGAGGCAGCAGUGGGGAAUAUUGCACAAUGGGCGCAAGCCUGAUGCAGCCAUGCCGCGUGUAUGAAGAAGGCCUUCGGGUUGUAAAGUACUUUCAGCGAGGAGGAAGGCAUUAAGGUUAAUAACCUUAGUGAUUGACGUUACUCGCAGAAGAAGCACCGGCUAACUCCGUGCCAGCAGCCGCGGUAAUACGGAGGGUGCAAGCGUUAAUCGGAAUUACUGGGCGUAAAGCGCACGCAGGCGGUUUGUUAAGUCAGAUGUGAAAUCCCCGAGCUUAACUUGGGAACUGCAUUUGAAACUGGCAAGCUAGAGUCUUGUAGAGGGGGGUAGAAUUCCAGGUGUAGCGGUGAAAUGCGUAGAGAUCUGGAGGAAUACCGGUGGCGAAGGCGGCCCCCU